AUGCCUACUAUGGUUUUCAAACUGGACUUUCGAAAAGCCUUCGACUCUGUUGCGUGGCCUGCACUUGACAAGAUUCUCCUCGCCCGCGGCUUCUCCCAAACCUUCCGUAGCUGGGUCCAGAACAUCCUUCAUAUGGGCAAAACUGCCAUUCUUCUGAAUGGGGUUCCAGGCAACUGGAUUGACUACAAAAAUGGCCUGCGGCAGGGAGACCCCAUCUCCCCCUAUCUCUUUCUCAUCAUUGCAGACUUGCUUCAGCAACUUAUUUUCAGGAACACAGAGGCUUCUCUCUACCACCCCAUCUUCUCACAUCUACCUCCCACCGUCCUUCAGUACGCAGACGAUACUCUUAUCGUUGCUGCUGCCUCACCUGAUGCUGCCGCAGCCCUAAGAGUAAUCUUAAACAACUUUGCCAAUGCUACUGGGCUGACCGUCAACUUCUCUAAAACCACGCUCCCCACACUACACAUGGACGACACCGUUGCUAACGCCAGCGCUCUUGCCAUGGGCUGCUCACGCGCCCCCUUCCCCCAAACCUACCUUGGCCUCCCUCUCUCCCUUACUAAGCCUCCACCCAAUGCCUUUGAUCCUCUUCUAGAAUGCUCUCGCAAGCUUCUGAACGGUUGGCGUGCCUAG
rnacentral:rRNA from 1 species